rnacentral:rRNA from 1 species
UUUUAAUAUGAGAGUUUGAUCCUGGCUCAGAACGAACGCUGGCGGCAGGCUUAACACAUGCAAGUUGAACGUGAUUUGUUUGGUGCUUGCACCGAGCAAUGAAAGUAGCGCACUGGUGAGUAACACGUGGGAACGUACCUUUUGGUGGGGAACAACAGUUGGAAACGACUGCUAAUACCG